rnacentral:lncRNA from 1 species
CAUCAAACUGUGUCCAUCAUUUGAGUGUCUUACUGAAACCUAUGCUGCCCUGCCCUUCAACAGGCACUUGAUUAGUCACUAGACUGGAUAUUACCUGCUUAAACUGGUCUUCCUGCAUGCAAGAUCUUCUCACUUUAGCCCACUGUUCUGUUGCCAGAGCCCAGGUAAUCCUUUACCCGGAAGCCUUUAAUUGCUCUCACCAUCUGCAGCAUAGAGAUGUCAGCAUGGCAUCCAAGGCC